GAGCGGGGCGGGGCCCGGGGGCAAGAUGGCGGCCUCGCGGCGAGGUCGCAGAUGUGUGAGCAGAGGAAAACACCCGUGGAACUCCGAGCCAGGGCACGCCGGGGCCAAGGGUGACUGGACUGUCUUCCAAGCAGGCCUCCGGCUCAGAAGACGCUGUCGCGGGAGGAGGGACCCCGCUGCCUCUGGGGCACCCUCAUCUCAAGAUGACGGGAGAGUGGGUACCUGUUGUGGGUAGGAGAGGCUCCAAGAGGCGCACGAGGAAAAGAGACUGGAUUGCUGGCUCGGAAGUUCUCACUUGGGAGACAUACUUGGGGACAUGCAUAAAAUCUCAGAAGAAACCAAGUGUCUGUUAUCAGUGACAAAGACUUCUUUUCAUCUGCACAUGUGGCAAAUACGCAGAAGCCACAGGAGAUGAGCUGCAUCUCCUUCCCUGACAGUGGAGUGGAUCUAAGCUUUGCCUCGUGGGUACACCCUGCCUCCAGGCCUCAGGUUCAGAGAGGCAGGUGGCCAGCCUCUCCUUGGAGGGACCGGUGCAGAAGUGCUGGAAAGGAACGAAGCUGCAGGCCCUAAACACCCAGUGAAGGAGUUCCCGCUGUGCCACAGCAGGUUAAGGACCCGGCCUUGUCUCUGAGGUUGCACAGGUUCAGUCUCUGGCCCUGGCAUGUCGUUGUGCUGCAGGUGCAGCUACAAACGAGAAAACCCAGUCACAGUGAGCGGAGGGCAGGCCCGCCUCGCAUCCUGCUAGGACGUGGGCCUCACGGACGGACCCCUUCUCUUCCAGGGAGAACUUCUGCCACGGUGGUAUCCUGCUGCUGCCGCCCUCGUUCAGCCAAAGACCAGGCCAGGCGACGUCGGCCCUCAGCUCCCGCUUUUUGCUCCUUUGAUCCCCUGCCCCCAGCCCUGCCUUUGGAGUUGAAGUAGGAACCCCACUUCUAAGUGGGAGGGAGGGCUGCUCCCUGCCCCACCGUUCCAGAGUCACUGUGGCUCCCCCAGUGGCGCCUUGGCUCCCUCGCCCUCCUGCACGGUCCCGCCACGGGGUGGGGGGUGGAGGAUGCAAACCCCUCACGGGAGGAUCUAGAGACCCCUUGUAGCUCAGGAAGGCUGCUGGUGGAUGUGUAACUGCCGCCCCUCCCCCCAAAGAGAGAAUGGUAUUUUCCUUAAAGAAAAUGAAAAAAGCGGCUUUUCUUUUUUUUUUUUCCUUUUGGCCAUGCCUGUGGCUUCCACAAGUUCCAGGCCCAGGGAUGGAACCCAAGCCUCAGCAGCAACACCACCAGGUCCUUAGCCCAGUGCACCCCUUGGGAACUCCAAAAAGCCGCUUUUUUCUCUCCAUGGUCAUAACUGGGACCGGUUGAGGCGUGCCCCUGUGGAAGCCAGCGAGCUGGGGCUGUGCUCGAAGCCAGGACACCCCCUGGGGGGAGCCAGCCCCGGAGCCUGACCUGUGUGUCCGCAUGGCCUGUUGUCCGGCCCCAAGGUGGGCCCCUGGGCAGGGUUGUCAGCUGGGCUAGAGUCCUUAACUGCCGGCCAGCUCUCGUCGCUCCCUCUGCAGGCGCUGCUCCAUCUGAGUGGGGCGUGUUACUCUCUUUACUUCCUGGCCACGCUCCUGCUGAUCGCGUAUAAAAGCCAAGUUUUCACCUAUCCUCACGGCUUCCUGGUCCUUGACCUGACUCUGCUCUUCCUGAUGGGGAUUCUGGAAGCAACGCGGCUGUACCUCGGCACCAAGGGCAACCUGACGGAGGCCGAGGUGCCGCUGGCCGCCAGCCUGGUCCUGACUGUGGGCGGCACCCUGCUGGCCAUCUACUUCCUGCUCUGGCAGACCCUGGUGCUGCGGGCAGACUGGGUCCUUGGCGCCACGCUCCUGGUGCUCCAUGGCCUGGAGGCCGUCCUGCAGGUGGUGGCCAUCGCCGGCUUUGUCAGCUAGGCCCCUGCGGCAGCCCCGGCCAGGAGCCCUUCCUGAGGGUGAGACGGCCUGCCAGCCGUUGCCCAGGGGGAGGGCGUCCUUCUGCUGAUGCGCCAUGACCUUGGAGGGCCUGGCGGCUUGGGUGAUCUCUGAGUCCUUGAGGCGGAGAUGGGCUCAGGAGCCAGGGCAGAGCAAAAUGCUGGGGCAGGCGGGGGCCCAGCGGAAGCCGGGACUGCCCGGGCGUCCUCCUCAGGAAGCGCAGGCCCCGCUUGGCUGGCAGGACCUCCAUUCAGCAACCGCCCUGCCCCCUGGGCCGGAAGGCAGCGAGGGGCCGGGGACGAGCCCCGGGCAGACGCUGCUCUGCCUCUUCCACGAGAGAGUAAUGCCAGAGAGCCAGGGCUUCUUCCCCCCGGGGACACAGGAAAGGCGAGCUUGAAGCGCCAGUGCCCAGGGGACAGAGCGCCUCCCUCAGCAGGACGUUGGCCCUGGGCACCGGGGACUUCGCCAGGGGGACCUUUGCCCACUCACAGACCCACUCCAGUGCCUCUGGAAGAAACCUGAGCUGAUGUUUUCUGGCAACUUUCAUUUGUUUCAGUUGUACAUUUUCUGUGUUUGGAAUAAUACCGUGUUUGAAUAUCUAGACAUUUUCUCUUCACUGUAGUUUUUAAAUAAAGCGUUUAUCCUUCCCUG
ensembl:lncRNA